rnacentral:rRNA from 1 species
UACAGAGGGUGCAAGCGUUAAUCGGAAUUACUGGGCGUAAAGCGUGCGUAGACGGCUAUCUAAGUCGGGUGUGAAAGCCCCGGGCUCAACCUGGGAAUUGCAUUCGAGACUGAAUAGCUAGGGUGCGGUAGAGGGAAGCGGAAUUUCCGGUGUAGCGGUGAAAUGCGUAGAUAUCAGGAGGAAUACCGGUGGUGUAGACGGCUCUCUGGACCGUAACUGACACUGAGACACGAAAGCGUGGGUAGCAAACAGG